rnacentral:rRNA from 1 species
CUUGGUUCAGGAUGAACGCUAGCUACAGGCUUAACACAUGCAAGUCGAGGGGUAGCAGGGUAGCAAUACCGCUGACGACCGGCGCACGGGUGAGUAACACGUAUCCAACCUUCCCAUAACUCAGGGAUAGCCUUUCGAAAGAAAGAUUAAUACCUGAUAGUACUUUUUCAAGGCAUCUUGAGAAAGUUAAAGAUUUAUUGGUUAUGGAUGGGGAUGCGUUCCAUUAGAUAGUUGGUGAGGUAACGGCUCACCAAGUCUUCGAUGGAUAGGGGUUCUGAGAGGAAGGUCCCCCACAUUGGUACUGAGACACGGACCAAACUCCUACGGGAGGCAGCAGUGAGGAAUAUUGGUCAAUGGGCGAGAGCCUGAACCAGCCAAGUAGCGUGAAGGAUGAAGGUCCUAUGGAUUGUAAACUUCUUUUAUAGUAGAAUAAAGUGAUCCACGUGUGGAUUUUUGUAUGUAUACUAUGAAUAAGGAUCGGCUAACUCCGUGCCAGCCGCAGC